UUGAAGAGACAAUGUGAGACUUCCUUUUC
rnacentral:piRNA from 1 species